rnacentral:rRNA from 1 species
GACGAACGCUGGCGGCGUGCUUAACACAUGCAAGUCGAACGGAAAGGCCCUGCUUUUGUGGGGUGCUCGAGUGGCGAACGGGUGAGUAACACGUGAGUAACCUGCCCUUGACUUUGGGAUAACUUCAGGAAACUGGGGCUAAUACCGGAUAGGAGCUCCUGCUGCAUGGUGGGGGUUGGAAAGUUUCGGCGGUUGGGGAUGGACUCGCGGCUUAUCAGCUUGUUGGUGGGGUAGUGGCUUACCAAGGCUUUGACGGGUAGCCGGCCUGAGAGGGUGACCGGCCAAAUUGGGACUGAGAUACGGCCCAGACUCCUACGGGGGGGAGAAGGGGGGAAUAUUGCAAAAUGGGCGGAAGCCUGAUGCAGCAACGCCGCGGGCGGGAUGAAGGCCUUCGGGCUGUAAACCGCUUUCGCCUGUGACGAAGCGGGAGUGACGGUAAUGGGUAAAGGAGCACCGGCUAACUACGUG